AAAGCAGAUUACAAGUACAGAUCUUCAUUUUGUGGAAGUAUUGCCACUACCCUACUGAAAGGGAAGUCAUGUUGAUGGCUUCUGAUUUUACCUUUAUGGGUGUAAAAAUGACAGCUUGACAAAGGCAGUU